rnacentral:rRNA from 1 species
CGGGGUGAGUAAUGUCUGGGAAACUGCCUGAUGGAGGGGGGUAACUACUGGAAACGGUAGCUAAUACCGCAUAACGUCGCAAGACCAAAGAGGGGGACCUUCGGGCCUCUUGCCAUCAGAUGUGCCCAGAUGGGAUUAGCUAGUAGGUGGGGUAACGGCUCACCUAGGCGACGAUCCCUAGCUGGUCUGAGAGGAUGACCAGCCACACUGGAACUGAGACACGGUCCAG